rnacentral:rRNA from 1 species
AGUGAACGCUGGCGGUAGGCCUAACACAUGCAAGUCGAACGGCAGCACAGUAAGAGCUUGCUCUUACGGGUGGCGAGUGGCGGACGGGUGAGGAAUACAUCGGAAUCUACUUUUUCGUGGGGGUUAACGUAGGGAAACUUACGCUAAUACCGCAUACGCCCUACGGGUGAAAGCAGGGGAUCUUCGGACCUUGCGCGAUUGAAUGAGCCGAUGUCGGAUUAGCUAGUUGGCGGGGUAAAGGCCCACCAAGGCGCCGAUCCGUAGCUGGUCUGAGAGGAUGGUCGGCCACACUGGAACUGAGACACGGUCCAGACUCCUACGGGAGGCAGCAGUGGGGAAUAUUGGACAAUGGGCGCAAGCCUGAUCCAGCCAUACCGCGUGGGUGAAGAAGGCCUUCGGGUUGUAAAGCCCUUUUGUUGGGAAAGAAAAGCAGCAGGUUAAUACCCCGCUGUUCUGACGGUACCCAAAGAAUAAGCACCGGCUAACUUCGUG